AGGCUGAAUGAAAUGUGAUGCUACUUUUGA
rnacentral:piRNA from 1 species